rnacentral:rRNA from 1 species
GACGAACGCUGGCGGCGUGCUUAACACAUGCAAGUCGAACGGUGAGGCGCCUUCCUUUUUGGUGGGUGUGGAUGAGUGGCGAACGGGUUAGUAACACGUUAGUAACCUUCCCCCUUCUUCUGGAUAACCGCAUGAAAGUGUUGCUAAUACGGGAUAUUCUGGGCCUGUCGCAUGAUGGGUCUGGGACAGUUAUUGUUUCGGUUGGGGAUGGGCUCGCGGCCUAUCAGCUUGUUGGUGGGGUGAUGGCCUACCAAGGCGGUGACGAGUAGCCGGCCUGAGAGGGUGGGCGGUCACAGAGGGAAUGCGCCGCGCAGCAGACUCCGAGGGGAGGCAGUAGUGAGGAAUAUGGCAUAGUGGGAGCAAGGCUGAUGCAGCGACGCCGCGGGGGGGAUGGUGGCCGGCGCGUUGUGAACUGCUUUCGCGAGUGAAGCAGGCUUGCCUUGUUUGUGGGUGGGUUGACGGUAGCUGGAUAGGAAGCGCCGGCUAACUACGUG